CAAAUCUCCACAACCUGUCAGAGUCAUAAGGACCCAGAGGAAGAAUUGGUGAGAAACAGCCAGAAACACGAUCCACAACCAUCUCUCAGAUGUUUUCCAAAGCCACAAAAGCCUUCAUGAAGGACACAGAUCAUGAUGGACGCCUUAUCCCUGUGUCCAGUCUGAACGACACAGACAGACUGAUUAUCCGAUCACUCAUUGUCAAGACCAGGCCCAGAUUCUUCUGGCAGGAACCCAAAUACCAGUCCCCUGGCUUUACCCUCAGUGAUGUCCUGAAGCCAAGAGAGCCUGGAGACUCACCUUUAAGCCCAACUGUCAAGGAGUGUGACUUUGUGGACUACACUGGGACAUUUGGUGAAAAGAAAGAAAUGAACGCAGACGGAAACGUGCAGGCA